rnacentral:rRNA from 1 species
GAUGAACGCUGGCGGCGUGCCUAAUACAUGCAAGUCGAGCGAACAGAUGAGGAGCUUGCUCCUCUGACGUUAGCGGCGGACGGGUGAGUAACACGUGGAUAACCUAUCUAUAAGACUGGGAUAACUUCGGGAAACCGGAGCUAAUACCGGAUAAUAUAUUGAACCGCAUGGUUCAAUAGUGAAAGACGGUUUUGCUGUCACUUAUAGAUGGAUCCGCGCCGCAUUAGCUAGUUGGUAAGGUAACGGCUUACCAAGGCAACGAUGCGUAGCCGACCUGAGAGGGUGAUCGGCCACACUGGAACUGAGACACGGUCCAGACUCCUACGGGAGGCAGCAGUAGGGAAUCUUCCGCAAUGGGCGAAAGCCUGACGGAGCAACGCCGCGUGUGUGAUGAAGGUCUUCGGAUCGUAAAACUCUGUUAUUAGGGAAGAACAAAUGUGUAAGUAACUAUGCACGUCUUGACGGUACCUAAUCAGAAAGCCACGGCUAACUACGUG